UACGUAGGGGGCAAGCGUUAUCCGGAAUUACUGGGUGUAAAGGGAGCGUAGGCGGCAUGGUAAGCCAGAUGUGAAAGCCCGAAGCUUAACUUCGAGGAUUGCAUUUGGAACUAUCAAGCUAGAGUACAGGAGAGGAAAGCGGAAUUCCUAGUGUAGCGGUGAAAUGCGUAGAUAUUAGGAAGAACACCAGUGGCGAAGGCGGCUUUCUGGACUGAAACUGACGCUGAGGCUCGAAAGCGUGGGGAGCAAACAGG
rnacentral:rRNA from 1 species